GAAAAAAUUUGUAGAAAGCAAAUUGAGUAGAGAAAAAAUUGAGAGUAUUUCCUAAAUUGGGUGAACCACGUAAAUACCUGUGUCCAUUUUUAGCUAUAUUUUUUCAAUUCCAUUAUUUGUCAGCCAAACUCGACCCACACGUUUUCUCUCCAACACGAGGUAGAUCACUUCACGUUGAUGCAAGGCCAUCGACCCCCCUCCCCCCAAGUGCUCUACCUCUAUGUUAGACCGUCGACCCACUGGGGUACUCUACAUCUAUGAGAUAUCCUCAACCCCCGAGAGCGCUCUACCUCAACAAGAGAUCGUCAAUCCACUGGGGUCGUUCUAUCUCUACGCGAGACCGUCGACCCCCCUAGGUGCUCUAUCUCAAUGCGAGACCGUCAACCGAUAUGGAAUUACCUAUAGGAUCAUCUCAACACUUAACCAUAAAAUCUUUGAUGAAUUGACAAGAUUACAUGGUGGUUACCACGGGCACAACCUCCGAGUGAGAAGUUAAGACCCCCACUCAGAACAUGGGGAUAAUGAGAAGGCUAACGUGGGGACAUGUGGCACCACAACCACCCGGUUCUCACUCAGUUUUCGACAUCUAUAAAUACCCCCGAGGGCGAUACAGGUUGCACUCCCCUGUCCGAAUAGCAGGAACGCCAAAGGCCACCAGAUAAAUCAGGAGGUAUUAUUCCACCACCAUUUCAGAGUAGAAAAUAUUAUUUAUUUUGACAAUAAGUAGGAACUGCUUUUAAAAUAAGUAAACUGCUUUUUCCAACUUUGACAGAAUGAAAAAUUAUUUCUUUUAGAAUUUACUUAAUUACUUACAAAUAAUUUCUUUAAGCUUUGGCAAACAUGCACACAUAAUGUAAAAUUACCUCAACUCUUAAAUUAAAAAUGUCUUUGAAUAGAGUUAAGACAGGUUUGGCGGCCACAGUAGCAACUAGCUGGUUGUGAUGGAUCUGCAAUAACACUGUGGCAGACAUGCUCAAUCUGCCAGAAGAGUGAAAAUCAUUUGUAAGCAAUAACAAGAUUACGAGUGAUAUGUCAGCCGUGCUAUUUUAAUAGCGAACACCAUAUAUUUUUAAAAUGCGUGAAAUGAACAAUGUGUUCCUGUAGAUUAUGAUUUUUAAGUUGUCAACAUUUUACCAAUUCAACAUGAUCAUAUUAACAGUACGUGUUUUGUGUCAA